UAUAAUAACGAAUUUCCUAUAAUAGCCUACAGAGACGAUUGCGAUGUGUGUGUGGUGGGAAGACGGGGGGGGGGGGGAGUACAAGAGAAUCAUAAAUACGUUAAUGAUAAAUGAUAGACAUGGGGAAGAAGGAAGAGGUGUGACAUAAAGGACCCAAUACAGGCUUUGCCAUUCUCCCACCCUGAGUAAGGAGCCGAGAUAUUGCUUCAUCGAAAAAAAAAAAAAAAAGAAGCGUCGGUCAAGGCUGAAAGGGAGACGGUCACGAGUAGGAGAAUUUGAGAUUUAGUGAACUGAUUAGAUUCAGAGGAGCGUAUGAAGCAAAUCCUUGGCAUGGCUGCUGCUGGGACUGAAGACGGAUGGGUGGGAUGAAAUAAGCGGACCGGAGAGAAAUGGGUGGAAGGGAAUAGGUGGACCGGAGACUGGAGGGUGGAAGGGAAUAGGUGGACCGGAGACUGGAGGGUGGAAGGGAAUAGGUGGACCGGAGACUGGAGGGUGGAAGGGAAUAGGUGGACCGGAGACUGGAGGGUGGAAGGGAAUAGGUGGACCGGAGACUGGAGGGUGGAAGGGAAUAGGUGGACCGGAGACUGGAGGGUGGAAGGGAAUAGGUGGACCGGAGACUGGAGGGUGGAAGGGAAUAGGUGGACCGGAGACUGGAGGGUGGAAGGGAAUAGGUGGACCGGAGACUGGAGGGUGGAAGGGAAUAGGUGGACCGGAGACUGGAAGGUGGAAGGGAAUAGGUGG